GGGUUGUGAGGUUAAGCGACUAAGCGUACACGGUGGAUGCCCUGGCAGUCAGAGGCGAUGAAGGGCGUGCUAAUCUGCGAUAAGCGCCGGUAAGGUGAUAUGAACCGUUAUAACCGGCGAUACCCGAAUGGGGAAACCCAGUGUGACUCGUCACACUAUCAUUAACUGAAUCCAUAGGUUAAUGAGGCGAACCGGGGGAACUGAAACAUCUAAGUACCCCGAGGAAAAGAAAUCAACCGAGAUUCCCCCAGUAGCGGCGAGCGAACGGGGAGGAGCCCAGAGCCUGAAUCAGCAUGUGUGUUAGUGGAAGCGUCUGGAAAGACGCGCGAUACAGGGUGACAGCCCCGUACACAAAAGCGUAUGUGCUGUGAGCUCGAUGAGUAGGGCGGGACACGUGGUAUCCUGUCUGAAUAUGGGGGGACCAUCCUCCAAGGCUAAAUACUCCUGACUGACCGAUAGUGAACCAGUACCGUGAGGGAAAGGCGAAAAGAACCCCGGCGAGGGGAGUGAAAAAGAACCUGAAACCGUGUACGUACAAGCAGUGGGAGCACAGGUUUACCUGUGUGACUGCGUACCUUUUGUAUAAUGGGUCAGCGACUUAUAUUCUGUAGCAAGGUUAACCGAAUAGGGGAGCCGGAGGGAAACCGAGUCUUAAUUGGGCGUUAAGUUGCAGGGUAUAGACCCGAAACCCGGUGAUCUAGCCAUGGGCAGGUUGAAGGUUGGGUAACACUAACUGGAGGACCGAACCGACUAAUGUUGAAAAAUUAGCGGAUGACCUGUGGCUGGGGGUGAAAGGCCAAUCAAACCGGGAGAUAGCUGGUUCUCCCCGAAAGCUAUUUAGGUAGCGCCUCGUGAAUUCAUCUCCGGGGGUAGAGCACUGUUUCGGCUAGGG
rnacentral:rRNA from 2 species